UUUAUUGAGAGUUUGAUCCUGGCUCAGGACGAACGCUGGCGGCGUGCUUAACACAUGCAAGUCGAGCGAGAGAACUUCCUUCGGGAAGGACUCUAGCGGCGGACGGGUGAGUAACACGUGGGUAACCUGCC
rnacentral:ncRNA from 1 species